rnacentral:lncRNA from 1 species
GGGCCAAUCACAUUCACGUGGAUCCUAGGAUCCUAGGUUCUAGAGUAACCAGGAGGAAGGUUCUGCUCUGUGCACAUUCAUUACUAGACUUGCCGCCUCUCUCUCAUGAAUUAACCAGCUCUCUCUAAAGUGGCCCGACUCGUCGGUAUUUCAUAAGCUGGCUCUUCUCCCCUUUGGCUGCUCUCCCUGGGGUCCUUGUCAGACCCCCAGAUCUCCCAGCCGUAUUAGCGGUGUGGCAACAAUAAACCAGAGGCACAAACCAUCAUUUACACUCUAUCAGCUGGGAGCCCGAUUACAGCCAAAGUCACCUUUAACUGCGGUCCCUGCAAGUGCUCCAGGAUGGCCAACGUCCUCCUAGACGCCUGGGCUGAUGGCGGUGAAGCUCUGCUGGGCCACAUUCCAUGGCCUCUAUAGGGCCCAGGGCUGGGCCAAGGCUAGGGAGGCUCCCGUUUUGCAGAAGAGGAAGUUGAGGCUUCACGAAAUGGAGAUGCUGGAAGACGUGCUGUCCAGCUGCUUCGGUGACUCCCUUCUCUGCCCUCCCCAUCACUCAGCGAGAGGAGGGGGCGCAGAGCCGCAGGGGGAGCCAUUCUUGCUCCCCCUCCCGAGCGUUGGGAGGGCUCUGGCUGACUCUGCAAACGGGCUGCUGGGAGUCUGCCGAUGGUCCUCUGCGGCACAUGAGUGGAGCCUCCACCUGAAGCCUUUAAGGCGUGUAGGGAGGAUCCCCCAGAGCAGUCUGGGGGCCUCCGUGUCACGUGAUCCUUCACUUGGCCCGCCUUGAUUUCCUCCUCUGUAAAAUCCUUCAUUCUGGGAUUGAAAGAGCUUUUGCUUGUGAAGGCCUUUACUUUGUUUUUCUUGUGUAUGUGCGUGUGUGCUCAUGCAUGUGUGUGGACCCCCCAGCAUGGAUUAUAGCCGUUGAGGUCACCCAGGAAGCACUU